CCCGGUAGUUAUAGCGAAGAUGAUACACCCGUUCCCAUCCCGAAUACGGUAGUUAAGCUCUUCAGCGCCGAUGAUACUAAGCUGGUUAACGGCUUGGAAAAGUAGGUAACUGCCGGGU
rnacentral:rRNA from 1 species